CUCACAUCGUCUAGCCGGUGUUUAAAUACUAUGGCUGUUAAUGUCAGUAACGAAUCUGGUAGCUACAGAUACAAGAAAUAGUCAGCAAUUCGGGCUAUUUCACUGUAACCUCCUUCUGCUGAAAUUAUAGAUCGCUAUCACAAUUAGGAAAUGUUGCACACAGUUCUCACCAUAAAGGAUUUCAGGACUUACAAUAAUGUAUUUCUCAUACAUCAAAUAUUUUGAUAGCGUGGUCAAUUUAUUACAAUAUAACCCUGCUCUCAGUGGCUUAUUUUCCACUUAGAAUUGUAUUCCAACUAUACCUGUCAGCAUUAAACUGCAGUAGACAUUGUCAAAUCUUCAAAUAAAACGAUUUCUG